CCCCUCUCAGGAUGGCACCUGGAGAGUUUCCAGUACUCUACCAGUCUCAGCUAUGGGAGGGAAAGUCAAGCCUAGGCAUACCCAUUCCAUUCCUGGCUUAGCCAGUGGCUAGCAAGUGGAAGGCAAUCUGCUACCAGU